AUUUCUUUUUCUUUUCUUUUUUUAUGCUGACUGGAUACAAUAGUAGGAGACUGGUUAAUACUUGUGCAGUGAUUGGUAUGAACAGAUGAUGUAUCCUGAGAAAAAAUUCAGGGUAGAAACUAAACACAGACAGAAAAACUAUUUGUCUUCUUACACUACUGCUGAAGCAGAUUACACAGUAAAAUUGACAGCACGCAUAAUCACAGAACAACACCCACAUAGAUGGAAGACACCCACAUAGAUCAUCAAGCCCAACUCCUGGCUCCACACAGGACAACCUCAAAAUUAAACUGUACGCCUGAGAGUGGUGUCCAAAUGUUUCUUGAACUCUGGCAGCUUGGUGCUGUGAUCGCCACCCUUGGGAGCCAGUUGUGGGGUUACCAUCUUCUGGUGAAGAACCUUCUCCCAGCUCCCAAACCUGCUCCUCUCCUGACACAGCUCCAUGCCAAUUCCCUCAGGUCCUGUCGCUGUCACCAGAAAGAAGGGCUCAGCUGCAGGCCACCAUGAGACCUCCCCUCCACCUCCUGUUCUCCAGCCUAAACAAUCCAAAAGACCUCAGCUGCUCCUCAUUUAUGUUGCCCUCUAGAUCUCUUUCCAUCUAUAAAGCGCUCCUCCAAAUAGCCCUCUAAUAGUUAUAUGACAUAUUGUGGUGCCCAAAAACUUUAUCCAGUGCUUGAGGUGAGGCUGCACAGUGCAGAGCAAGCCCUUCCCUCACUCAGCUGGCAGUGCUGGGCCUGGAGCACCUCAGGUUAUGCUUAGACUUUUUGGCUGCCAGGACGCACUGUUGGCUCAUGUUCAACAUAUUCAUUCAUGUUGUCAAUCAGAAACCCCAGAUUCAUCUUCAUGGGACUGCUCGCCAGCCUCUCAUCCCCAUACCUAGAAUUUCCCUAUCCCAGCUACUGAGUUCAGCACUUGCUCUUGUUAAACUGCCCGUGGUUGGUGAUUGCCCAGCCCUGCAAUUCAACAUUUCUCUGCAAUGCCUCUCUAUCAAGGGAGUUAACAGCUCCUUCCAAUUUAAUAUUAUCUGCACAUAUCACGUACACCAAGUCUUGCAUUCAGAUCACUUAUGAUAACAUUAAAGAGAACAAGUCCUAAAGUGGAGCCAUGCAAAACCGGCCACUUAUUGUAACCCACAAAAUGUAACCCCAUUUACUUUAACCCUUUGAGUUUAAUCCCUCAGCCAAUUGUUCAUCAACUGCAUUACAUUUUUGUGUAGCUGCAUGCUAGACAUUUUGUCCAGAAGGAUAAUGUGAGAAACAAUUGCCAAAGCUUUGCAAGAAUCCAAAAUGAUUAGGGCAAUUGGCUUCCCCUGGUAAGUUAGGUGGAUAGCUUUGU